AAAGAAGUUUGCACAUCUGAAAAAGGUACAAUCUUAUUACAAUUUCUAUCUAAACACAAAUGCAAUUCUUGAUGGGAAUCGAAAAUUAUUUUAAUUUCCGCUACGCAUGUUAAAUAGAUUCCCAACAGGCUCAUGAGGAAAAUCAAAACAAAGUUAAGGAGGAGGUAGGGGAUGUAAGUUUCCAUCUCAUCUUAUAGUUUUAUGAUGUUGUACGGCAACUUUCUCAUUGUUUCUUGUAAUUAUUCACACCAGAACUUGUAUAAUUGUAUUUCUUUUACUCAGGGUGGGUAUUAUAAUGACAUUAUUUGUAAAUUACUGCCGAUACUUAUCAAGAUUUGUGUUCGUAAUGUGGAGGGUUUCAUAUGCUUGCUAUCUGUAUUGAUGGUAUAUGUUUUUAUAUAUUAAUAAAUAAAGAUAUUAACCUUAUACGUACGGGUACGAAAAUAUUCUUCUGUGUGCUAGGUGUGUUAAGCAGCACCAGAAUACGAAAAUGGUGUGAAUAAAAUUAUGUCAGUUGCGAAGUGGAAAUAAUAUCAUUUCUUUGAUUCUUUUGGAUCCGAAAGUUUAUAAGUGAUUGCAAUAAAGUGAAGUAAAAGAGGUAUUGGACACUUUGAUUUGCUUGAUUUCUUGUCAGUUCAGUUUUCUGAAGAAACUGAUUUUUCUUAGAAAGGUUCUUGGAAUGGUAGUUAAAACUACAGAUCCCUUUAUCCCCAUGAAAUUUCAAUAUUCUAAGGACUCAGAUCAAUUGUUUGUUAUUGCAGAUUGCUCCUUUCGACCCAUAAAGAAGAAGGUCGCGAUUCAAGAUUCAGCAGAAGAAGAGACUGUUGAUAAUCUGUCUGAGAAAACUGAGAGCCUGUCUGGGAAAUAAAUUCAGCAAUCUAUUGUUUAUGUAAAUUAAUUCUGCCAUCUAAUGUUCAUGAUUUCCUGUACAUUGUUCCUUGUCCACAUUUUUAUUGGACGGCAAUUGUGCUAUGAUGCUGUGUAUGUUUACUGAAUUCUGUAGUUUAUGAUGGUCUUGAAACUUCAUUUGAUGGUUACUUGUGAUUUAUUAUAUAUAUAUAUUGGUUGGUUAUAUUUAUUAUUUCA
rnacentral:lncRNA from 1 species